AUGCUCUUUGCGGAUGAUGUGGUGCUAGUUGACGAUAGUCGGGCAGGGGUAAAUAGGAAGUUAGAGUUAUGGAGACAAACCUUGGAAUCGAAAGGGUUUAGGCUUAGUAGGACUAAAACCGAGUACAUGAUGCGCGGUUUCAGUACUACUAGGUGUGAGGAGGAGGAGGUUAGCCUUGAUGGUCAGGUGGUACCUCGGAAGGACACCUUUCGGUAUUUGGGGUCAAUGCUGCAGGAGGAUGGGGGUAUUGAUGAAGAUGUGAACCAUCGGAUUAAAGCCGGAUGGAUGAAGUGGCGCCAAGCUUCUGGCAUUCUCUGUGACAAGAGAGUGCCACAAAAGCUAAAAGGCAAGUUCUACAGGACGGCGGUUCGACCCGCAAUGUUGUAUGGCGCUGAGUGUUGGCCGACUAAAAGGCGACAUGUUCAACAGUUAGGUGUGGCGGAGAUGCGUAUGUUGAGAUGGAUGUGUGGCCACACGAGGAAGGAUCGAGUCCGGAAUGAUGAUAUACGAGAUAGAGUUGGGGUAGCACCAAUUGAAGAGAAGCUUGUCCAACAUCGUCUGAGAUGGUUUGGGCAUAUCCAGCGCAGGCCUCCAGAAGCUCCAGUGCAUAGCGGAUGGUUAAAGCGUGCGGAGAAUGUCAAGAGAGGGCGGGGUAGACCGAAUUUGACAUGGGAGGAGUCC
rnacentral:rRNA from 1 species